UGGGGAAUCUUGGACAAUGGGGGCAACCCUGAUCCAGCCAUGCCGCGUGAGUGAUGAAGGCCUUAGGGUCGUAAAGCUCUUUCGCCUGUGAAGAUAAUGACGGUAGCAGGUAAAGAAACCCCGGCUAAACUCCGUGCCAGCAGCCGCGGUAAUACGGAGGGGGUUAGCGUUGUUCGGAAUUACUGGGCGUAAAGCGCACGUAGGCGGACCAGAAAGUUGGGGGUGAAAUCCCGGGGGCUCAACCCCGGAACUGCCUCCAAAACUAUUGGUCUAGAGUUCGAGAGAGGUGAGUGGAAUUCCAAGUGUAGAGGUGAAAUUCGUAGAUAUUUGGAGGAACACCAGUGGCGAAGGCGGCUCACUGGCUCGAUACUGACGCUGAGGUGCGAAAGUGUGGGGAGCAAACAGGAUUAGAUACCCUGGUAGUCCACACCGUAAAACGAUGAAUGCCAGUCGUCGGGUAGCAUGCUAUUCGGUGACACACCUAACGGAUUAAGCAUUCC
rnacentral:rRNA from 1 species